CCUACGGGAGGCAGCAGUGGGGAAUAUUGGACAAUGGGCGCAAGCCUGAUCCAGCCAUGCCGCGUGAGUGAUGAAGGCCUUAGGGUUGUAAAGCUCUUUUGUCCGGGACGCGGUACCGGAAGAAUAAGCCCCGGCUAACUUCGUGCCAGCAGCCGCGGUAAUACGAAGGGGGCUAGCGUUGCUCGGAAUCACUGGGCGUAAAGGGCGCGUAGGCGGUCUUUUAAGUCGGGGGUGAAAGCCUGUGGCUCAACCACAGAAUUGCCUUCGAUACUGGGAGACUUGAGUUCGGUAGAGGUUGGUGGAACUGCGAGUGUAGAGGUGAAAUUCGUAGAUAUUCGCAAGAACACCGGUGGCGAAGGCGGCCAACUGGACCGAACUGACGCUGAGGCGCGAAAGCGUGGGGAGCAAACAGGAUUAGAUACCCUUGUAGUC
rnacentral:rRNA from 1 species